GAUGAACGCUGGCGGCGUGCCUAAUACAUGCAAGUCGAGCGAAUGGAUUAAGAGCUUGCUCUUAUGAAGUUAGCGGCGGACGGGUGAGUAACACGUGGGUAACCUGCCCAUAAGACAGGGAUAACUCCGGGAAACCGGGGCUAAUACCGGAUAACAUCUUGAACCGCAUGGCUCGAAAUUGAAAGGCGGCUUCGGCUGUCACUUAUGGAUGGACCCCCGUCGCAUUAGCUAGUUGGGGAGGUAACGGCUCACCAAGGCAACGAUGCGUAGCCGACCUGAGAGGGUGAUCGGCCACACUGGGACUGAGACACGGCCCAGACUCCUACGGGAGGCAGCAGUAGGGAAUCUUCCGCAAUGGACGAAAGUCUGACGGAGCAACGCCGCGUGAGUGAUGAAGGCUUUCGGGUCGUAAAACUCUGUUGUUAGGGAAGAACAAGUGCUAGUUGAAUAAGCUGGCACCUUGACGGUACCUAACCAGAAAGCCACGGCUAACUACGUGCCAGCCGCCGCAGUAA
rnacentral:rRNA from 1 species